AUCAACAAUGAAGGCUUUUAUACUGUUUAUGGUGUCAGUGGCAUCCAUUGUACAAGUGACUGAAGGCCAGCUACCCGGAGUAGGUGGACUUAUCCGUCCCUUAAUUGGUUUAUCUCUCCUAGAUAGUUUUAUUGGCGGUGGAAAUAAUGGAUUUUUUAAUGGUGGUAAUAGAGGAAGAGGAAGAGGAAGUGAGCAGGUCCUCCUUAUUGAGCCACAGCAAAACAAUUUUCGGUUUGCACCAGAACCGAGGGCUUUCCUUGGAGAACCGUUUUUUGUACCUGAUUAUCGUUACAAUAAUCGUUGGUAAAUGUUGCAGAGACCAGAUUGUAUCAUUAAAAAGAGGUAUCCAGGUUGUUGGAGGCUCUGGUGCAAGGCACUUACUUGGUCUCUAUGGAAAACAAUGUCUGAGAACAAUAUAAAAAAUCCGCUUGUUUAUAAUUAAUUAUUACAUGUUCACACAUCAUUAAAGCCUUUCCAUAUCUG